rnacentral:lncRNA from 1 species
UUUUUUUUUUUUUUUUUNUUUUUUUUGUCUUUUUGCUAUUUCUUGGGCCGCUCCCGCGGCAUAUGGAGGUUCCCAGGCUAGGGGUCUAAUCGGAGCUGUAGCCACCGGCCUACGCCAGAGCCACAGCAACGUGGGAUCCGAGCCGCGUCUGCAACCUACACUGCAGCUCACGGCAACGCCGGAUCGUUAACCCACUGAGCAAGGGCAGGGACCGAACCCGCAACCUUGUGGUUCCUAGUCAGAUUCGUUAACCACUGCGCCACGACGGGAACUCCCUAUUUUUAAUUUUUUGAAGAGCCUCCAUACUGUUUUUCAGUGCAGCUCUAUCAUUUUACAUUCUUAUGAACACUUGGUGUUUUCUGGCUUUAAUACUAUAGCCAUUCUAAAGAGUAUAACGUAGUAUCUCACUGUAGUUCUGACUUACAUUUCAUACUCCCAAGAAUAAAGUGAACUGCAUAUACUAUUUUAAAUUUUAAAAACUAGUUAAAAAUAGAAAACCUUAAAGCCACCCAAGGAAAUGUUCUGUAUUUUGACUGGGUGGCAAUUACAUAGGCAUAUAUAUUUACCAAACCUCACUAAACUUUUUUAAAUAGGUAAACUUUAUUUAUGCAAAUUGUACCUCAAUACAGGAAAUUUAAAAAAAAACAACACUAAAGUGAUUCCAAUAUUAGGAACUGGAUCCCGUGUUUGGGAAUAAUUAGGUUUGAGAACCACUGUUUCUAUACUUUUUUUCUUUUCACAGCACCUGUGACAUGCUGAAGCCAGGGACUAAACUCGAGCCACAGCACUGACAACACAAGAUUUUCAACCUCACUAGGCCACCAGGGAACUCCCUAGGAAUCAAUGUUUCUAAGCAUCAUGGACUCAGUAGUGAAGCCUGUUUAUUUCCCCAAAUUGAUUCCUACAAUGCUAUUCCCCCUCCAAAAAAUCCUUUCAAAUUAGUGUGAUUACUAGGUACUACAAACUAUAAUUUAUUUUAUUUUUUGCGUUUUUGUCUUUUUAGGGCCGCACCCGUGGCAUAUGGAUGUUCCCAGAGGCAGAUAAAGGCAGAAUCACUACUACAACCAAGAAUGAAUCUAGACAACUUGUGAUUUACCUGGUCUCAUGUUAUCAAACUAUUAUGAUGUCCAUUAAUAUUUAUAAAAACGAUGGUAAAAUCCUAGGGCACAGCCCCAACAUACUAACUCCUACAGUUAAACAAGAGAAAAUGAAAACACCAAGUAUGUGUUUCUCCUAUUCAAUCAGGUGGCAAUAAAGAAAUUCAUAUAACUUUAAGCUUCCUACCAAAAUCCUCAUCACCUUGAAAGCCGUCAUUAUAUAAAUACAAUGCACUGAUAUCUUAUCCUGAAAGAAAAAUACCCUUAAAAAAAAAAUACCCUUGAAGAAUCUACCAGUUAAAACAGGUAUUUCUACCAAGGGAGAAAACUAAUAUGCACUGAGCACCAUGCUCUUCACAUAUUAUUUCAUCUAAAAUUCCUAUGAAAUGGAAUCUUCACUUCACAGAUGUAGGUCCUGAGGCUCAGAGAAACAAAAUAGCCUGCUUAAAGAUAGGUAGAGAGGUACAUAUACACACAUCAUCUAUAGCAAAUUCUUUUGUAAUUACAGGGUCAUUGGCAUUUCUGGUUAAAAAAAAAAAAUCUGAUUUAAGGAAACCUACAGGGCUAAAACAUUACUUUUGUUUCUAACUCAAUAAUGUAAAAAAUGAACAACUAAGAAAACUUUGAAACACAGUCUUCCUUCUUUUAAGAGGCUAUCAAACUACCCUAAUGCAUACUCGGAAUCUACUAAAAGGAGAAAUUUCAAGCCUCAUGGAACAGUAACAGAGUAUCAUGCCCAGUGAUGCUAACCUAAUUUGUCGUCCUAUGCCCAGCAGUUGCUCUGGGCUAAUUUUUUUUGCCAUGGACCAUCAGUAUUCCCUAUGAGAAUAAAAAUGGCAGGCUAUUAAUGUUUUUGUGAUUAACACCCAAUGCGGAGUUCUCUUGUGGUUCAGCAGGUUAAGGAUCUGGCAUUGUCACUGAAGCAGCUUGGAUCGCUGCUGAGGCACAAGUUCAAUCCCUGACCUAGAAACUUCUACAAGCCAAAGGUGCAGCCAAAAAAAGGAAAAGAAGAAAAACAAACAAACAAACAAACAAAAAAAAAAACCACCUGAUCUGUUUCCACUUUCUUGUUAGCAAUAUUUAAAAAAGGAGGAAUAGGAGUUUCUGUUGUGGGUCAUUGGUAACGAACCCAACUAACAUCCAUGAGGACACAGGUACAAUCCCUGGCCUGGCUCUGUGGCUUAAGGAUCCAGCAUUGCUGCAAGCUACAGUGUAGGUCGCAAACUGGCUUUGAUCUGGCGUUGCUGUGGCUGUGCUAUAGGCUGGCAACUACAGCUCCGAUUCAACCCCUAGUCUGGGAACUUCCAUAUGCCAUGGGUGUGGCCCUAAAAGACAGAAAAAAAAAAAAGAGAAGAAAAGAAAAGAAAAAAAGAGAGAGAGAGAAAGAAAAGCAGAUGAAAUUAUUGAAAAUGUUCAUUUUUAGGAAUAAAGACAAUGUAGGAGUUCCUGUCGUGGCGCAGUGGUUAAUGAAUCCAAUUAGGAACCAUGAGGUUGAGGGUUUGAUCCUUGGCCUUGCUCAGUGGCUUAAGGAUCCGGCGUUGCCGUGAGCUGUGGUGUAGGUUGCAGACGCGGCUCGGAUCCCGUGUUGCUGUGGCUCUGGUGUAGGCCGGUGGCUACAGCUCCAAUCGGACCCCUAGCCUGGGAACCUCCAUAUGCCGCAGGAGCGGCCCAAGAAAUCCCAAAAAGACCAAAAAAAAAAAAAAAAACCCAAAAGGAAUAAAGACAAUGUAAAAUAAACCAAAAUCUUCAUACGGCAGGAACUUUGUUUUCUUCAAAUGUGUCCUAGAACAGGUCGCUGGCAUACAGUAACUAUUUGUUCACUGAGUGUAUAAUGGCAAGCUAGCGUGGCCAUCCCUCUUACAAUGCCAAGGAGAAGUUCAAAGCCAAGCAAAACCACUACCAUCACAUGCCUUCCCUACCAGGUAGCCCUUCUCACCAACUGAGAAUAUUCAUCCCCUUAACAGCUCACUUCUUUCUAGAGUGCUCAGACUAAAGGAGAACAAGAAAAGGUAGUCAAAACGGUACCAGACCAGGAUACUUACAUGGUAUCAAUUAAAUUAAUAUGAUCCAAUUUCCUUUAUUUGUGAUUAGUUUAAAAUACCUUAAUAGCCCCUGGAUGGGUGGCUACACCUAAUAUUAACACUGUUCCCAUCCAAGCCAGUAUCACUGCUGACCCCUCCAGUAAGAGGAAGGGUUGUUCUCUGAUUCGCAUUCUCUGGUUAGCCUAUUUUUUAUUGAUAAUUAGAUAUACCCAAAGCAGAGACUGUGCAUAAACUAUAAGAUGACCAAACUACUCUAUCAAAAAAAUGAAAACUUAAAAAUGAACAACAGAAGAAAUAAGAUGAGAGUGAUCAGGAAGUGAGAGAAGUAUGUGUAUGAUAUGGUAAAUCCAUCUCCUUAAAGAUUAAGAGGUUAGGAAAUAUAUCUAUACAGGAAAAAAUAUUGGUUAGAGUAGAAGAGAAAAAGGAAGAAGUUAAAGGAGUAUCUUACAGGGAAAGGUAGGAAAAUAAAAUCAGAGAGAAAAGUUAUGGAGUAAAACAAAAGGUCGAAAGGAGUUCCUGCUGUGGCACAACAGGAUCAGUGGCAUCUGUGCAGCACCAGGACACAGGUUCAACCGCCAGCUCAGCACAGUGGGUUAAGGAUCCAGCUUUGCCACAGCUGAAGCAUAGGUCACAACUGCAGCUUGCAUCUGAUCCCUGGCCCAGGAAAUCCAAAUGCCAGAGGGCAGCAAAAAAAAAAAAAAAAAAA